rnacentral:rRNA from 1 species
GAUUAACGCUGGCGGCGUGCCUAACACAUGCAAGUCGAACGAGGUAGCAAUACCUAGUGGCAGACGGGUGAGUAACGCGUGGUCAACCUACCGUUGAGUGGGGGAGUAACUAGCCGAAAGGUUAAGCUAAUACCGCAUACGUCUCCGAGGGGCGAUCCCUUCGGCGGAUAAAAGGAAGCAAUCCGCUCGAUGACGGGACCGGCGUCCCACUUAGCUAGAUGGUGGGGGUAACGGGCCUACCAUGGCACCGAUGGGUA